rnacentral:lncRNA from 1 species
GGAGGUGAAAAUUUUUCAAAACUGGAGACUGAUUUGCUACAAACCUCCUGGAAGUUUUUUCGAGUACCGUAGCAAGUGCUCAGAGCAAUUCUUAAUUCAGUGGGAUCAACAGCUUCUCCGCGAUUCUUGGCAGCAAUUAUGCCAAAAAAGGCACAGACAAUGCAGGGAUCUUCAUCGUGCUCUUCAACUUUAUCUAAUAACUUUUUACAUUCCUCUUGAAAUUCUCGUAGGUUCCAUAGGGACUGCAUUACCACAUAAAAGAAAAAAAAAUAUUCAGGAGUGACAGAAAGUGAAACAAGAAGUGACCAUCUUUCCAGUAGCAGAUGACAGAAAAUCAUCUGGUUAUGGAAUGAUAACCCAUCAUUCCAGUAGUAUGUGACAGAAAACAUUUGGUUAUGGAAUGAUAACCUGUAUAAUCGUAUAUAGAAUGCUAUUAGCAGCUUCUUUUCCAAGUCCAGUUCCAAGCAAAUUGACAUUGAACCUAGCCUCAUGCUCAAGUUGAAGCUGAUAGUUCACAUUUUCUUCAAGCAAUUUUUUGUCGGCCGCAAUCGAUUGUUGCAGAUCAUCAGCUCUUUCAUCCUUCUCAGAAUUUGGAUUGUCACUGUUAACCAAGAACAGAAGUACUGGUAGUAAGCGUUUUCUGCUGCAGGUAGAAAUCACAUCAUCCCAGGAGCCAGUAACCUACAUAUGCACAUGACACAAAUCUGGAUUACAGAAAGGGGAAAAAAAAAAGGAAUAUAUAUAUAUAUAUAAAAGAAAUCACAAAAAAAAAAGGGAAUCUCAGCACCCUCUGAACGUACCUCCACAUUUGAUUCACUAUGCUGAACAUAAUGUUUAUCAUGCUGAUCAUCAUAAAGAAAGCAGACAGAAUGUUGUCGAUCACUAGAACAGCAAACCUGGAAAUGAAUGACAAAAAACUUUUAAUUGCAACAUGGGCACACGGUUUCAAUUUAUAACUUGAGAAGGUUCAAGUACAUGAAAUUUACCAUUGAAACGAUGAAAUAUGUGUAAUCAGGCACGUAUCCUUGAAAUAACUUGCUUACAUCCACCUCAUUAGAUAGAGCACUCAAGGUUGUUGAUAUAUCUUCUGAACUCUGGUCACCUCUCGGCCAAUAUAUAACUGCAAUUUCAAUCCAUAUGUAACUUAAGAAUAACUAAAUUGUUGAUCAUAUGACAAUUUGUCUGCUUUUUAAUGACAAUUGAGAUCUAGCAUACUGGCUGUCAAGACAUGUGGAGGACACCAAGGAGCACGGUUAAUAAGGUUUAGUUGUCCGCAGCCACAAGUCAUUCGCCCAAUUAUCCCCACCAGCUCUAAAAGCUCUUCAUCAGACAUAUCCCUAUGUUUAUUCUGAGUUAAAAGGACAAUGCCCAAAACAUCAAAAACAAGGACUAAAACAUCUGUAUUCCAAAAAAAUAAGUGGGGACUUGUCAAUGGAUAAUUCCAACUCAACUUACCGCAAGGACUCUGAGUUUGUCUGCAUUUAGAGAAAGAACAAGGUGAGUAUUCUUUCGAUAUCCCGAUCUAAUGUGACAGUUGAUGCAUUCUAUACUUUCAAAAAGAUCCAUUCCAAAUAUUCUAUGCACCAAACAACUAGAGUUUAUGCAAUCCAAACUCCCCUCGUACAUGUCUUCUGGUUCGUCAUCAGAAUUAACAGCAUAAAAUGCCACGUGAAGAGCUUUCAAGAUAACUAUAAGGAAAAAAGAAGCAUCCUUCACUCGUCCCUGGAAAGGAAGCAUUUGAAUGAGGGUAAGUAUUAAGGAACCAACCGAAAGACAAUAAAGAACAGCAACGGCUUAUAUAUCAUUUCAAGUUCUGCAUUCUCAUGGAGGUGAAAAUUUUUUUAAAACUCAAGACUGAUUUGCUACAAACCAAUUGCAAGUUGUUUUGGUUCCAGUGGCAGUAGCUCAAAGCAAUUCUUAAUUCAGUAGGAUCAACAGCUUCUCUGCGAUUCUUGGCAGCAAAUAUGCCAAAAAAGGCACAGACAAUGCAGGGAGUUCCAACGUGCCUAUGAUCUGCAUCUAAUUUCUUCUUGCAUUCCCCUUGAAAUUCUCGUAGGUUCCAUAGGGACUGCAUUACCACAUAACAGAAAAACAAGAAAAAGAAACAAGAAGCGACCAUCAUUCCAGCAGCAGAUGACAGAAAUUCAUCUAGUUGUCGAAUGAUAAC